rnacentral:rRNA from 1 species
AUUGAACGCUGGCGGCAUGCUUUACACAUGCGAGUCGAACGGCAGCGCGGGCUUCGGCCUGGCGGCGAGUGGCGAACGGGUGAGUAAUACAUCGGAACGUGCCCAGUAGUGGGGGAUAGCUCGGCGAAAGCCGGAUUAAUACCGCAUACGACCUGAGGGUGAAAGCGGGGGAUCUUCGGACCUCGCGCUAUUGGAGCGGCCGAUGGCAGAUUAGCUAGUUGGAGGGGUAAAGGCCUACCAAGGCGACGAUCUGUAGCUGGUCUGAGAGGACGACCAGCCACACUGGGACUGAGACACGGCCCAGACUCCUACGGGAGGCAGCAGUGGGGAAUUUUGGACAAUGGGCGAAAGCCUGAUCCAGCAAUGCCGCGUGUGUGAUGAAGGCCUUCGGGUUGUAAAGCACUUUUGGCGGGAACGAAAAGGACUGUGCCAAUACCACGGUUCGAUGACGGUACCCGCAGAAUAAGCACCGGCUAACUACGUG